rnacentral:rRNA from 1 species
CCGUAGGGGGCCCUCUUUGCUCUUCCUCCCUGGUCUUCCCUCUCGUUUCUUCUUUUCUUCCUUUCUUCUUUUCCCUCCCCCGUCUCCCCCGGGGAAUUUCAGGGGAAACCGCCGCUCUUGAGGCAGGUAGAGGUGACCGGAACGUGUGGUGGAGCGGUGAAAUGCGUAGAUAUCACACGGAACGCCGGUGGUGAAAACGGGUCACUGGGCCUGUCCUGACGCUGAGACGCGAGAGCGUGGGGAGCAAACAG